AUGCUUGAUGCCACGGCCUAUAUACAAUUAUCAUAUCCCCUUAAUUGGAAAAGUUUGAACAAUCAAAGGGCAUUUUUCUAAAUGGCCUCCUCAACUGUUUUCUGUGUUUUGGUCAUAUCCAAACAUAUUUUGAUAUUUUGUAUGUUUGUCUUCAGGCUUACUCAUUAAACCUCUACCUGACUUCUUUAUUGGAGACUUUCGCAAGCUGCUCUGAAAAUUCCUUUUUGAUUCCCUUAGAUGAGCCCUGAAAUGUCUCUUUGGAUCUUCUGGACUCCACAAAUCACAAUUUUAAAACAAUUAGACUCAUAAUGCUACUGAUAUAAGAGUCUCUGAAUCUAACAGUAACAUCAAGCAAUCUUGAAAGUAUGCUAUGGGGGAGGUUCCAAG
rnacentral:lncRNA from 1 species